rnacentral:lncRNA from 1 species
ACACACACACAGAGGCACCUCCGGGAGGCUCUGGCCAGGCCUGGGUGUGGCAGGAUAGAAAUGAAAGUUGUCCUGGCAACACACAAGAUUUCAUCAACAUUUCCAUCCCCAGCAGCUCCUGGGCCAAGCCUCAUCUUGCCCAGUGUGGCCUGUCAAGAUGACGGCCUGGAAGAGAAGCCAGACUGGGCAGCCAGGCCUCUGCCCCUCCCCUUGCCUGGUGGCACAGCCAGCACUGGCUCACUGGGAAAGCUCACAACUCCUCACAGCGAUCUGGUAUCUUGAGCGUCAGUUUCUGGCCGAAACUGGGGGCUCCUGACUGAACUCCCUCCCACCUAGAAAACCUUCUGUGCAGUCUGAUUGCUCCAACACCCACAGAGCAGGAUUCAGACCCAGCUGGCCUGAGUGUGCACGAAAUGGGACCUUCUCCUUGGGUCCACCAGGCUGGGAGGCACCCCUAGGUACCCGGCUCCUCAUCACAGCGGCAGCCCUCUCGGUUCCACAUCUGGUUCUCCUGACGAAGCCGCUGGUUUUCGGUCCGGAGCCUCUGGACCUCGGCAGCCAGCUCCUCCACCUGGCGGCAGGACUGCUGGCCGGUGCACGCCUGCAGCUGCUGCAGCCUCCUAGUCUCCUCCUCCGCCUGCGACAGCCGCUUCUCCAGCUCCAGGUAGUCUCGCACCAGCUCCUGCUUGCUGCGGCCCUGCAGGCUCUCGGUGUGGAAGCGUUCGUAAGUCUCAGAGAAGUCCUUCCGCUGGAACUCACCGUGCGCUCGGCCCCGCCCAUCACUGUCCCCGGCCUCACUCUCCCCACUGGAACCUGGGUGGGAGAUCCCAUGGGGCACAUCCAAGUUGGGCUCCUCCGGGUCCCUGUCAUUCAUCAGGAACUGGGUGGUGUUGUAGGGGGCCACGGGCUGGCCUUUGGCGAACAUCUCUUCGCGGACCCGGGAGGCCCUCUGGCUCUGCCUCUCAUCCCGCUGUUGUUUCUCAGCCCAGCUCAGCUCCAGGUAGGGUCGCCAGUGCCUUUUGCGCUUCGAUGGCCGCCGACGGUGUUUCUUCCGGGCCAGCACAGCCUCCGCUGAGCAGCCCCCUGGGCUCUGGGUCCGGGGACUCCUACUGUUCCAGCCCAGGCCACCGACAGCCCCAGCAAGAUCUUCAUCCUCUGAGUGGCUCUCCAUCCGCGGUGUCAGGGGCAGGGAACCACCAGAGUCAUGACGCUCAGGGGGUGUUUGGGGGCUCCCCGGGGCACCAGAGGUCUAAAGAGAGGGAGGAGGAAGAAGGAUGGAUCAGACAGCCUGUCCUUGGAGGUGGAACCUUUCCCUCUCUACCUAGCCUGAAGCCUACCUUCCUACACUCAGCUAACUUGGUCACUCUUAGCCCCUCAACCUUUUGGAACCAUUUGUUUACAAAGAGACCUGUCUACUGUCUGUCCCCCAACCUUCCCCAAGUAAACUCAUGGUGAGAGCAGGAAUUUUGCCUGUGUGUUUCACUCUGUAAUUUCAAUGCCUAGAAUAAUACCUGGCACUGAGUAGGAGUUCCAUAAAUACUGUCCAAAUGAGUAAAGUAGGAGAAGAAGAAAACUGGGAUAGAAGGUGGAUCUUGAUGCAUUUGCUUGAUCAGAAGCCCAAAUGGCACCGGCUCUUCCCUCUUCCCAGAAAACCUGACUUUCAAACACCACUGGCUUCAUGGGCAGGUGACCUGUGAAGUCCCACAGAGGCCCCAC